rnacentral:lncRNA from 1 species
UCGGAUUGACAGUCGAGAAGGGUAUCUUGCUGACCUGUAUCUGCUUCCCAAAAGUUCCCGGCAGACAUUGUUCUUGUAGCAUAAAUGAGUGGUUAUUUGAGGCACAAAAAUAGCUGCUGCUCACUUCAGUUUUCCUUGGCUUUCUCUGCUGGUCAGCCACUUUUCACCCGGUGUUUCACAUCGGAAGUGAACAGAGAUAUGCAGAUGUGUGUUUAUAAACCAAGAUCGGUGGCUAUUGAUAACUCAUGGGCUUCAUGUACAUGUUCUCACUAGUCACUGAUGAUGAUGCUGGCAUGUUUAUGGCCAUCA